rnacentral:rRNA from 1 species
GACGAACCGUGCGAACGUUGUUCGGAAUCACUGGGCUUAAAGGGCGCGUAGGCGGGCAAGCAAGUCAGGGGUGAAAUCCCACGGCUCAACCGUGGAAGUGCCUUUGAUACUGCCUGUCUUGAGGGAGGUAGGGGCGUGCGGAACUUCCGGUGGAGCGGUGAAAUGCGUAGAUAUCGGAAGGAACACCGGUGGCGAAAGCGGCGCGCUGGACCUCUACUGACGCUGAGGCGCGAAAGCCAGGGGAGCAAAGCGGG